GUGUUCAAUGCAGUCUGCAGCCCAUUUGUUACGUGAGAUAGCAGCUCUCUACAAUACCUGUGUCAUGCUUGAAUCUGACCCAUUUCCAGAUCAGGAUCCUGCUACUUUUCUGCAUCGUGCACAAUACUGUAAUCAAUGGCUGAAGGAUGCAGGCCUCCCUGUGUAGCAUUUUAUGGAGUGACACUAUGCAGCAGCACAUCACCGUGCUUGCAUCUACGCCGCUCCUGAUGCCUUCGCAGUGGGGGUCUCUGUGCAGCCUGUCGUGCCACCGUGCCGUGCUCCCCGGGGCUGUUUGUUUCUCAUUCCCUGCCCCUUACAACCACAGCGGGGGCCGCUUAGGACAGGCACAGCAGCGAGCGGGCGGCCGCCUCCGUCUCCCUCCCCUUCUCCUCAGAUGCCCUUUGGCUGCUGCAGGGUUAUUAUUACAGUAUGUGCCUGCCCCCCCCCCACACCCCCCCCAACCUCCCGCCCCGAGCCGUUGGCAGGGCGCCGCGCUGAAGGGAGGGAGGGAGGGAACGGUUGGAGCAUGA
rnacentral:lncRNA from 1 species